AACGAACGCUGGCGGCAUGCCUAACACAUGCAAGUCGAACGAGACCUUCGGGUCUAGUGGCGCACGGGUGCGUAACGCGUGGGAACCUGCCCUUAGGUUCGGAAUAACUCCCCGAAAGGGGUGCUAAUACCGGAUAAUGUCUUCGGACCAAAGAUUUAUCGCCUUUGGAUGGGCCCGAGUUGGAUUAGCUCGUUGGUAGGGUAAAAGACUAACAAGGCGACGAUCCAUAGGUGGGCGCUGAGGAUGAUCAGCCACACUGGGAGUGAGACACGGCCCAGACUCCUCCGGGAGGCAGCAGUGCGGAAUAUUGGACCGUGGCCUAAAUCCUGAUCCUGCUCUGCCGCGUGAGUGAUGAAGGCCUUAGGGUUGUAAAGCUCUUUUACCCGUGAUGAUAAUGACAGUACCGGGAGAAUAAGCUCCGGCUAACUCCGUG
rnacentral:rRNA from 1 species